UUAAGUCUAAUUUGAUGUUUUUUUGAUUUUUUUUUUGAUGUUUUUUGAUGUUUCGGUGGCAAAAUUAACCGGACGAAACCAUCCAGUUUGUUCUUGUACCGGCUAGUUUCGGCCAGAAUUACUGUGGUUCGGGCCCCGUAAGGGCCGGAACCAUUUUUCAUGCACGAACUGACCUGAUCAGAGACCGGGUCAGCUCGGUUUGGCCCGUACCGCCCCAAAUCGGGCGGUACGGCCUGGUUCGGCAAGCCUUUUAUAUGACUAAUAGAAGCAGCGAUACCACAUUGGGCCAAUUGUUGGUUCAUUGACUGAUAAAAUCAGGAAUUAAGAUGGUUGAAUUUAUAUUCAGUUUUUAGGAUUCUAUUCUUAAACUUGUUGCAGUUUUCAUAUUAACUUUUGGUCUCCCCUCCUUUCUAGUUAGUUUUUGAGUCCUAAUAUGAGGAUGAUUAUUGUCUUAAAUUCCUAUUUUAGGUCUAGCUUGGGUUAGGAAAUAUUUAGAUCCUAAAACUUUUUUUUUCAAGUGAUUUGAAUGGCAUUUCAUCAAGGGCAGAGCUAGGAUUCAUAUUGUUGGGGGGCCAAGUUUCUUAAUGAUAAAUUAUCUAUUCAAUAAUGUGGGCUAUAUGAGUUGCAGAAUUAUUUCAACUUUUCUGUAUCAUGGAAUCAAAUCAUGCAGCAGGAUUUUAAAUGAAGAAUAACAUUUUUAAACUUGACAUUGUAGAAAAUAUUGUAUUUAAAGAGAUUUUGACAUAGCUGUUAGUCUACUAUGAUGUAUCCAAAGACUUGGCAUAGAUCUGAGAACGUCAAAGAAUAAAGGUACAGAGGAGAUAUUUUAUGACAUAAGAUAACAUCACAUGUUCUAAGGAGAUAUUUUAUAAAACGUUUGGAAAAAUUGAAGCAGUUAGCAAGGUAUUUGGGCUCCUUAGUACUUUUAUUGAGAAACUUCGACAAGCAGGAGCAGGGAAAAGCAAUUUCUGUAAUCUAUGGCUAUGAAGUUAGGAAAAAGCUAGAAAGAUGUGCCACACAUGGAGAUAUCAAGUUCUACAUUACUACUUGAGAAAGUAGGUAAGCUGAUUUUUUUGAGGGUUUUAAGCAUAUGGUGGAGAUUCUUGAGAAAGUUUUACUUUUUGAUCUCUUAAAUGCAGUCAGAUAAGAAAAAAAUACAAAAGACAAUAUUUGAUUGAGUUUUAGUGGAGUGGACCUCAGAUUGAGUGCUCAUACUUGGAAGCAGACGAUGUGUAGUGGGACCCAUGAGAUUUCAAGUAAUUACCAUUAAAGAGAGUGCUGUAUAGAUUAAGGAGCUGUUACAAGAAGGCCAUCCCUGGAAUUGCAAUAAGCACCCUCAAAUAGGAGUCUUCGCAGUGGUGGGGUUUCAUUGGUGGGGGUUGAGGGGGUUGGUAUCCUGAUAUAUCAGCAUCUCCUCCAACGAUCUUGUAUAUAUCCCCUUCCCCACUUUUCUACUCUCUUUCACAAUUUUUGACUGUCACAGAAGAAUAGACAGAUCUGUAUAUUCAGAUAUGUCCUGAUGUAUCUCCUCUAUUGAUCUAUAUAUAUCCUGUUUUCCCUUUUUUUUUACACUGUUUCACUCUAUUCUGACUGUCACAGAGUAAGAGUAUUCAGAUCUGUCCAGAUGUCAAAAUAUUUUUCAAUGAGCUAUAUUAUUUGUGGUCCUAAUGCUAAAGGGCUGGAUCACGAACCAGCAAUAUUGAAAAAAUAGCAUUAUGUGUGUUUUGUUUUUUCCCCUUUUUUGUCAUGAUUUUAAUGCAAUCCAUUGUAGAUUUAAUUUUCAGAAUGAAGUCAUUUGGGUUGAAGGGCUUGUAGUACAAGGAAGCAACAUGUGAUAAUUAUCCUUUGGUCCUCAUUGUCUACAUGGCGUCACUAAUUGUUAUUCUUGAACAAUCUGUCUUGAAACCAUUAUUAAGAAUUGUGACUCCACCUUUCUGGUCUUAAUUUUGUGAAUUCUUCUCCACCAUCCGUUCCUGUUAAGCAAGAAAUCUCAGUCAAGGUAGAUGAGAUGGCUAGAGAACUUUGUUCCUUGUGAAGUUCAAUAACCUGUAGGCCAUCAUGACUACUUUUAUGAUAACCACCUAGUUGAUGCUUUUGUUAACCUGAAGUUCUGUUCCAAUAGGAUAGUAGAUUGAAUUAUUGAAAACUUAGUAUCUUCAUAGGAAGGAUGUAAUAUGUGGAAGGGGUUGCUUGAGUUGUUCAGAAAUGCAUGGUCAAUUUAAGUGCUUUUCCAGAGAAAAAAUUAGUAGGAACAUGGUCUCUGGCAGUCUUGUGUCCUCAUAACGUCCAGUUCUGUAACUUGUACAAAAUAGCUGGUCCAAUCACUUUGUAAUAGCUUAUUUCUCAUUGGUACAUUAUGACUACAGGCACAAUUUAGAAGUGCAUAUUCAUUUAGCCAACUCACUCUGGCCUGGCCACAAGACCACAUAUGCCCUAUAGGCUUCAAUAUGAAACAUAAUAAAUUAAUAAUGGACUAUGGUGUUCGAAAACCAGUGAUUAAUUCCAAAGCUUUAUUUUCACAAGCACAUUAUGCAAAUUCUAUAAGCAGGUAAGCAUGCAACAAGAUGAUCGAUGUAUGAACCAUUAUGCGUAAAAAAAAACAAGUGACGAGAAAUAUGAAUGGAAUUCUU